rnacentral:tRNA from 1 species
AAUGAAGUGCCUGAGUAAAGGGUUAUUUUGAUAGAAUAAAACAAGUAAGAUUUUACCUUCAUUA